CGUUUCCUACGGGAGGCAGCAGUGGGGAAUAUUGCACAAUGGGGGAAACCCUGAUGCAGCAACGCCGCGUGAGUGAAGAAGUAUUUCGGUAUGUAAAGCUCUAUCAGCAGGGAAGAAAAUGACGGUACCUGACUAAGAAGCCCCGGCUAACUACGUGCCAGCAGCCGCGGUAAUACGUAGGGGGCAAGCGUUAUCCGGAUUUACCGGGUGUAAAGGGAGCGUAGGCGGUUUAGCAAGUCAGAAGUGAAAGUCCGGGGCUCAACUCCGGGACUGCUUUUGAAACUGUCGAACUAGAUUGCAGGAGG
rnacentral:rRNA from 1 species